rnacentral:rRNA from 1 species
UACAGAGGGGGCAAGCGUUGUUCGGAAUUACUGGGCGUAAAGGGACGCGUAGGCGGCCUUCUAAGUCGAACGUGAAAUCCCCCGGGCUCAACCCGGGAACUGCGUCCGAUACUGGAAGGCUUGAAUCCGGGAGAGGGAUGUGGAAUUCCCCAAGUAGAGGUGAAAUUCGUAGAUAUGGGGAGGAACACCGGUGGCGAAGGCGGCCACCUGGACGGUAACUGACGCUGAGACGCGAAAGCGUGGGGAGCAAACAGG